rnacentral:lncRNA from 1 species
UGACAGCCACAGAAGUACUGAAGAUUGGUUCAUUUUCCUGAGACUGGGAUGUGAAUAUGACCUACAGCUGCCCUCAAUUUCAGUGUCACAGAAAAAAAAAUUAACCCUUCCUGAACUCUCCACAGACCUGACUGAAUAGGAUCUGAGAAACUCCACAACUGAAUUGUCUGGUGAAUCCCACAACAAUGGUAAUAGAAUUUUCAAAAAGUGAGUAAAUUUUUCUCCAUUUCUUUCACUAGUUAG